rnacentral:rRNA from 1 species
CGCGGAGAACCCUACCGGUCUUGACAUCCAGAGAACUUUCCAGAGAAUGGUUUGGGGCCUCGGGAACUCUGAGACAGGUGCUGCAUGGCUGUCGUCAGCUCGUGUUGUGAAAUGUUGGGUUAAGUCCGCAACGAGGGCAACCCUUUUUCCUUUGUUGCCAGCGGUUCGGCCGGGAACUCAAAGGAGACUGCCAGUGAUAAACUGGAGGAAGGUGGGGAUGACGUCAAGUCAUCAUGGCCCUUACGACUAGGGCUACACACGUGCUACAAUGGCGCAUACAAAGAGAAGCGACCUCGCGAGAGCAAGCGGACCUCAUAAAGUGCGUCGUAGUCCG